GCUAGAGAAAACAGAAGCUAAACAAGCUGAGUUUCAUAUACAUAGUCAAUAUCCAAAACAGAGCUACUCGCACUGCGAGUUAAGUCAACUAUGUACAUAAACUCGAAACAAAACAUCUACCUGCGGUAGGGGCACCUCUAGCUCAGCACGUCGAGUAGGGCUCUAACUCGCGACGCCCUUGCCUCGAUCCUGGUCCGCGACGGGCAGCAGCCGGAACCUGUGGCUCUGCAAAAACAUAGGUAACAACUGGGCGUGAGAACUACUGUAAAAACAAGUAGUCCUCAGUGGGUACCGCCCAAAACAACAUCGGUCCACCCACUAAGUCUACAGAAGGGAGCAACAGUAGUCAGAAAAGCAGGAAAUAAACUCUACCGCUAUCGAUCACUACACUAUCAUGCUCUACACUAACCAACUGUAGGAAAUAUCAACUCUGACCCAAUCGAAUCGGAACUGUAAGCAUAUCCGUCCCCGGACUGUGAAUACACCGUCCCUGCCCGUUGCGACUAUCGGGCUCUAUCACACUAACUGGUCGUAGAGAGCAAGUCAACUGGCAUGAGCGACACCAACGCGAAAGCAAAAGCUGACUUCCGGAGUAGCAUCGUGGGCGCUACCAACCGAGUAUGCCAGCGUAUCUCUGUCGAGCUCAAACAGGCUCUGAAAAGCCAAAGUCAAGAAAUCGACUCUAACUGGUCUAACAACCAACAAGUAACGUGCCCUCAGUACAAUCUGACGCCAAAAAGGCGAUACGGGUCCACCGUCACUCUGACGGCACCCCACAGUCCGGAACAACCUGAACAACACUGUAAAAAUCCACUCGGCAUACCAGCACGAGCGUAAAUGUCUACUAAACCACCUGGAGUACUCGUCUCGAGGAUACUGCGACAGUACAAUUUAAUAACGGCUCCUAGAACUAAAUCAGGCAGUUUAAUCAAGUGACAUGUCCAAAUCGCAAGUUUUCUCCUAAUUCAAUUUUCAAGUCCAACAUGUAUAACCUAUUCAAUUUAUUACCACAUGCUCCAAAUUCAGAUAUGCAAUCUACCAUUUAAUCCAUGAAUUCGAGUUAGAAUAGAUUAUCCAAAAAUUGAAAACUAUACAUGUCGACGAUUAGAACUAAGGAGUCAAAACCGAUGUAACCCACCUCGAUUGCUAAUUCCUGGCAGCACGGAACUCCCUUCGGCUGCGGAACAACCUGCCGAAACGUCCGAAAACCUCCCAAGGCCCGAAGUCAAGCUCCCGCCAAACUCUACACGGAGAAUCCGACAAUAAACAUUAAUUUUGCCUCCAAAAAUAGCAACAGAGAAGAGCGAAAUUCUGACCUAGCAAACCUUUACCAAAUCCAGCAAGUAAGGGCUUCAUGGAUUCCUCUCGAAGUCCCGAAUCCAACAAACCAAGUCCCGUCGAAAACCGACGCUCCUACGCCGAGUACGAAUUGAAAUACCGACGGUCGACGCUGGAAAUUCUGCAAAUCAGCACCAAGCUCGAAAUGAUAAUACUUGAAGCAAUGCAACGGAACACUCACCUCAAUGGCUAAUCGGACAUCGACGUGGCGUCGAGAACGGCGAAAACACACCCUCGCCUAGCUUCCUCGCAGCGCUACGAUCCCAGCCGUACCCUCGAACGGCUUCGCGGCGCGUCGUCAGCGUCGAAUCCGAGCUCCUCGGCACCUCUACCCGUGCUCUCCACCAUGCACGUAAUUAACUAGAGAGAACAAAAAGUGCACACUCUCUGUUAAUUUGAAGGGAUAAACAUGAAAAGGGCGGUGGCAUUCUUAUCCAAAAAAAAUGACCACUAUGCCCCUUGACCAACUCAAAAUGAAGGGUAUUACAUCCUCCCCCACUAUAAAAAGUUUCGUCCUCGAAACUUAAAACAUACCUCAAACCUGAAUCUCGAACAAGUAGGGAUAGGACUCCCGCAUCACCAUCUCAGGCUCCCAAGUCGCCUCUCGUUCCUCGUGAUUGCUCCACUGCACUUUCACAUACGGGAUGAUCCGGUUGCGCAAUUCUUUCGUCUCCCGAGCAAGAAUCCGCAACGGUCGCUCCUCGUAUCUCAGAUCCUCGCCAAUCUCUAGUGGAGUGAACUCAAUCACGUGAGAGGGAUUGAAAACAUAUCUCCUCAACGCCGAGACGUGGAACACAUCAUGAAUCCCAGCAAGUCGGGAUGGUAGAGCAAUCCUGUAGGCUACUGGUCUGACUCGUUCCAAUACCUCGAAAGGGCCAACAAACCGUGGACCAAGCUUUCCACAUAUUCCAAAUCGACGAAUCCCUCUGGACGGGGAGACUUUGAGAAAAACAUAAUCUCCAACCUGAAACUCUAAGUCUCGUCUCCUGGUAUCGGCGUAGCUCCUCUGGCGGCUCUGAGCUGUCAAAAGGUAUCGUCGAGUGACUCUCACCUUUUCCUCAGCCUCCAGCAAAGUCUCAAGCCCCAAUGUCCUCCUCUCACCUAUAUCGCUCCAAAACAAAGGGGAUCGACAUCUGCAUCUAUACAACGCCUCAAACGGAGCCAUCUGGAUGCUCGUUUGAUAGCUGUUGUUGUACGCAAACUCAACCAGUCUCAAAUGUCGAUACCACCCUCCUCCAAAAUCCAGGACACAUGCCCUCAGCAUGUCCUCUAGAGUCUGAAUGGUUCGCUCUGACUGACCAUCUGUCUGUGGGUGAAAAGCAGUGCUGAAAUGUAACUGAGUCCCCAAAGUUGUCUGUAAACUCCUCCAGAAAUGCGACACAAACCUCGGGUCUCAGUCUAAUACAAUCGAUACUGACACGCCGUGCAGCCUGACGAUCUCAUCCAGAUAUAGCUACGCGAGUCUCUCUCUGGACCAGGUGGUCUGAACCGGUAAGAAGUGAUCAGACUUGGUCAGUCUGUCUACUAUCACCCAAAUCGCAUCAAAGCCACCCUGCGCUCUAGCCAAUCCCACGACAAAGUCUAUCGUAAUCUGCUCCCACUUCCACUCGGGCACUGGCAGACUCUGAAGCUUGCCAGCAAGUACCUGAUGCUCGGCCUUCACCUAUUGGCAAGUCAAACAUUGAGCCACAUAUCUGCCAAUGUCUCUCUCUUCAUUUCAUUCCACCAAAACUGUGCCUUUAAAUCCUUAUACAUCUUGGUUCUCCCAGGAUAAACCGUAUAAGGAGAACAAUGAGCCUCACUCAAGAUGUCCUCUCGGAUCUCUGAAUCCACCGGCACACAUAGUCGGUCCCUGUACCGUAGUACUCCCGAACUGUCCAUAGAAAAACCCUCAGCCUGUCCCCUAUGUAGCUGCUCUCGAAUCCUCGACAAGUACGGAUCUCCACUCUGUUUCUCUCGGAUCCUAUCCAACAGAGUGGGCUGCAAGACCAGAGACAUCAGUCUCGCAGUAUACCCAGGGGACACUAUCUCAAGCCUCAGCUACUGGAACUCCUCGAGUAAUGGCCUCUGCUCAGUGAUCAUCAAACUCAAGCUCUGCACUGACUUCCUGCUCAAUGCAUCUGCCACUACAUUCGCCCUGCCGGAAUGAUACUGAAUACUAAUGUCAUAGUCCUUCAGUAACUCCAACCACCGGCGCUGCCUCAAGUUCAGCUCCCUCUGUGUGAACAGAUACUUGAGACUUUUAUGAUCCGUGAAAAUCUCGCAGUGCUCGCCGUACAAGUAAUGUCGCCACAGCUUCAAAGCAAAAACCACCGCGGCAAGCUCCAAGUCAUGCGUAGGGUAAUUCUUCUCAUAAUCCUUUAACUGCCGUGAAGCAUAAGCAAUCACCCUACCAUGCUGCAUCAGCACGCAACCAAAUUCACUGUGCGAUGCAUCAUUGUAGAUCACAAAUCCUUCCCCCAUCACAGGAAGGGCAAGGAUCGGAGCUGACGUCAACCUCUGUCUCAACUCAUCAAAGCUCCUCAUGCUCAGCAUCGCUCCGGGAGUAAAUCAGGAUAUCGUCGAUGAAGACUACCACAAACCUGUCCAUGAACGGCUUGAACACUCUAUUCAUCAAAUCCAUGAAUGCGGCAGGAGCAUUCGUCAAUCCAAAAGGCAUCACCAUAAACUCAUAAUGCCCGUACUGAGUCCGAAAAGCCGUCUUGGGAACAUUCUCGGCCCUCACCCUCAACUUGUGAUAACCUGACUGGAUAUCAAUCUUCGAGAAGACAUAAGAUCCCUGCAGCUGAUCAAAUAAAUCAUCAAUGCACGGCAAGGGAUACUUAUUCUUGAUGGUCACUUUAUUCAGCUCCCGGUAAUCCACGCACAGCCUAAGUGAGCCAUCCUUCUUCUUCACAAACAACACCGGCGCUCCCCAAGGCAAAACACUGGGUCUCACAAACCCUCUAUCCAUCAAAUCCUGAAGUUGUGCCUUUAGCUCUCUCAGCUCUGCCGGCGCCAUCCGAUAAGGUACCUUUGAGAUUGGUGCAGUUCCAGGAACUAUAUCAAUCACAAACUCAAUCUCCCUCUUUGGCGGCAACAUCGUCAACUCAGGAAAAAAACACAUCUGGAAACUCGCGAACUACUAGGAUAUCCUCGAGUUUCGGCGCCGCCGUAGGUACCUCCACAACUGUCGCUAAGAAAGUGAUACACCCACUACUCAGCCUCUGUCGAGCUCUCGUCGAAGAUAUCCAGGUGGCAAACAACGUGCUCCUGCAGCCUCAGAAAGUGAACUCCUCCUGGCCUGGCUCGCGGAACGUCACCGUCUUCGCUCUACAGUCUAUCGUAGCAUAGUACCGCGCCAGCCAAUCCAUACCGAGCACGAUGUCGAAGUCCUGCAGCUGCCCUAACACCGACAGGUCUGCGGGCAUAAACAACGAAUCUAACUGCACCGGACACGACCAACAACACUCUGCAACCUGUAAAAUAUGGUCGGAGAUAUGCACCUCUCGUGCCAAAGACAAAGACCCUAACUCUGGACCAUGCAACAGUGCAAAUGCUCGGCUCACAAAAGAAUGGGAGGCAUCAGUAUCAACUAAAGUACGAGUACAUAUGCCAAAAAUCAAAGUGAUACUUGCCACUACACGAUCGGCUGCUGAAGAGUCCUCCCGGCGGUAACUCGGUGCUGCUCCAAAAGUCUGCUGGUCAGCUGGCUGCGCUGAUGCAAUGGAUAGUGCUGGAAAUGUCGCUCUAGCACACGUUGACCUCACAUGUCCUGGCUGUCCACAAGUGUAGCAGUGGCCCUCUUUCUGCUCACAUUGUCGGGGCCAGUGUGGUCCUCCACAAAUCACGCACCGCAGCGUCCUCGGUGACGGUCCCUGCUGAAGCAAUCCCUUGGAAUGCUGACGCCUCGAUAAACCACGACCCUGAGAGCAAGAUCGAGAAAGCCUCAGCGGACGUCUGCUACUCGCCUGUCCUCUAUCAUCUGGAAAAGGGCGCUUCCUAUCUUGGCUCUGCCCCGGUACCAUAGUCCGCUCCUGAACGGGUGUAACUCUGUGUCCCACCAAGAGUGCCUGCUGCACAGAUGCUCCUGUCUCAACGCCUGACCACUGAGUGACAAUCUCAUAAAUCCUCUGCAAUAGUACACUCUGCUGCUUGAUCACCUCUGUCAGGACAGCCAACUGUGCACUCAGAUAAGGGGAUGCGCUAGCCUCCGGUCGCACACUGGCUCCACAACAGGGGGUGCACUCGCCUCCGGUCUGUCACCCUGCUCCUGCCGAGUACUCUGCUCCAUCUGCUCAUGUCUCUCACGGGAUCCCGCACGAUCCCGCGCCAACUGGGCACGCUCUCGUAACGACGGUCGACCUCGGCGACGAUACACAGCUGAAAGGAACAAAUCGGGGUCAGAUACAACAAAACACUCUCGACCCAAUCAAAAGAAAGUCUGGAAGGCGGUCCCUGUUUUCCUCCAAAAUUAUGUCGUCUGCAGCCAACAUAAUUUCUCAGGCCAAAACAGGAACUCCUUCAGUCACUCACUCCACUCUAGGAGCAGUUAGAACAAACAAUCAUUGACUUUCGCAAUUAAAUUACGCAUCUCGCGUCUUGCUUUCCUAAGGUUUGCCAAACUUAGGUUUCCUAGGUCCCAACGACCUAUAGCAAAGCUCUGAUACCAACUUAAUCUGUCACGCCCCGGAUGUCUCGUUCCCCGGGCACGCCGACAAAUCCGCCGUAUACAAAGAAAUUUUCUCUGUAUACGAAGCGACAGCUGUACCUGUAAAUCAAACACUACUACGAACAGUAGUAGAGAGCUGCUAGAGAAAACAGAAGCUAAACAAGCUGAGUUUCAUAUACAUAGUCCAAAUCCAAAAUACAGAGCUACUCGCACUGGCGAGUUAAGUCAACUAUGUACAUAAACUCGAAACAAAACAUCUACCUGCGGUAGGGGCACCUCUAGCUCAGCACGUCGAGUAGGGCUCUAACUCGCGACGCCCUUGCCUCGAUCCAGGUCCGCGGACGGUGCAGCAGCCGGAACCUGUGGCUCUGCAAAACAUAGGUAACAACUGGGCGUGAGAACUACUGUAAAAGCAAGUAGUCCUCAGUGGGUACCGCCCAAAAAGAUAUCGGUCCACCCACCAAGUCUACAAAAGGGAGCAAGAGUAGUCAGAAAAAUAGAAAAUAAACUCUACCGCUAUCGAUCACUACACUAUCAUGCUCUACACUAACCAACUGUAGGAAAUGUCAACUCUAACCCAAUCCAAUCGGGACUGUAAGCAUACCCGUCCCCGGGACUGUGAAUACACCCGUCCCUGCCCCGUUGCGACUAUCAAGCUCUAUCCACACUAACUGGUCAGUGGAGAGCAAGUCCAACUGGCAUGAGCGACACCAACGCGAAAGCACAAGCCUGACUCCGGAGUGGCACUCGUGGGCGCUACCCAACCGAGUAUGCAGCGUAUCGCUGUCGAGCUCAAUCAGGCUCUGAAAAGCCAAAGUCAAGUAACCAACUCAACUGGUCUAAUAACCAACAGGUAACGUGCCUUCAGCACAAUCUGACGCCAAAAAGGCGAUACGGGUCCACCAUCAACUCUGACGGCACCCAACAGUCCGAAAUAAUCUGAACGAC
rnacentral:lncRNA from 1 species